UACGUAGGUGGCGAGCGUUGUCCGGAUUUACUGGGCGUAAAGAGCGCGCAGGCGGUCGUUCAAGUCGCGUGUGAAAGCCCCCGGCUCAACUGGGGAGGGUCACGCGAUACUGUUCGACUCGAAGGCAGGAGAGGGAAGUGGAAUUCCCGGUGUAGUGGUGAAAUGCGUAGAUAUCGGGCGGAACACCAGUGGCGAAGGCGACUUCCUGGCCUGUUCUUGACGCUGAGGCGCGAAAGCUAGGGGAGCAAACGGG
rnacentral:rRNA from 1 species